rnacentral:rRNA from 1 species
GGACUACACGGGUAUCUAAUCCUGUUCGCUCCCCUAGCUUUCGCACCUGAGCGUCAGUUACCAGCCAGGACACUGCCUUCGCCUUUGGUAUUCCUCCGGAUAUCUACGCAUUUCACCACUCCACCCGGAAUUCUAUGUCCCUCUCUGGUCCUCAAGUUCCGCAGUUUUCGAAGGCCUCACCCGGUUGAGCCGGGUACUGUCACUCCAAACUUACGAAACCGCCUGCGUGCGCUUUACGCCCAAUAAAUCCGGACAACGCUUGCCCCCUACGUAUUACCGCGGCUGCUGGCAC